rnacentral:rRNA from 1 species
GAUGAACGCUGGCGGCGUGCCUAAUACAUGCGAGUCGAGCGAACAGAUGAGGAGCUUGCUCCUCUGACGUUAGCGGCGGACGGGUGAGUAACACGUGGAUAACCUACCUAUAAGACUGGGAUAACUUCGGGAAACCGGAGCUAAUACCGGAUAAUAUAUUGAACCGCAUGGUUCAAUAGUGAAAGACGGUUUUGCUGUCACUUAUAGAUGGAUCCGCGCCGCAUUAGCUAGUUGGUAAGGUAACGGCUUACCAAGGCAACGAUGCGUAGCCGACCUGAGAGGGUGAUCGGCCACACUGGAACUGAGACACGGUCCAAACUCCUACGGGAGGCAGCAGUAGGGAAUCUUCCGCAAUGGGCGAAAGCCUGACGGAGCAACGCCGCGUGAGUGAUGAAGGUCUUCGGAUCGUAAAACUCUGUUAUUAGGGAAGAACAAAUGUGUAAGUAACUAUGCACGUCUUGACGGUACCUAAUCAGAAAGCCACGGCUAACUACGUG